rnacentral:rRNA from 1 species
GGAGGGGAGUGAAAUAGAAUACUGAAACCAUGUGCUUACAAAAAGUCAGAGCCCGUUAAUGGGUAAUGGCGUGCCUUUUGCAGAAUGAACCGGCGAGUUAAUGUUGCAUGCGAGGUUAAGUAGAAGAUACGGAGCCGAAGCGAAAGCGAGUCUUAAUAGGGCGAUUUAGUAUGUAGUAUUAGACCCGAAACUGAGUGAUCUAGCCAUGGGCAGGUUGAAGUUUAGGUAAAACUAAAUGGAGGACCGAACCGACGUACCCGGAAACGUGCGCGGAUGACCUGUGGCUAGCGGUGAAAUUCCAAUCGAACUCAGAUAUAGCUGGUUCUCCCCGAAAUAGGUUUAGGCCUAGCCUUGUGGUAAGCUUUAUGGAGGUAGAGCACUGAAUAUGUAAUGGCCCCGUCUAGGGGUACUGAAUGUAAUCAAACUCCGAAUGCCAUAAAAGUAUACACAGGAGUCAGUGUAUGGGUGAUAACGUCCAUACGCGAAAGGAAAAGAAUCCAGACCGCCAACUAAGGUCCCAAAAUUUAUGCUAAGUGGGAAAGGAUGUGGAGUUGUCAAAACAGCUAGGAGGUUGGCUUAGAAGCAGCCACCCUUUAAAGAGUGCGUAAUAGCUCACUAGUCGAGUGACACUGCGCCGAAGAUGUACCGGGGCUAAGCAUAAUACCGAAGUUGCGGAUUGUAAUUUAUUACAAUGGUAGGGGAGCGUUCUAAUUGCGGUGAAGGUAGACCGAAAGGACUGCUGGAGCGGUUAGAAGUGAGAAUGCCGGUGUGAGUAGCGCAAGAUGUGUGAGAAUCACAUCCACCGUUUGCCUAAGGUUUCCUGGGGCAGGUUCGUCCUCCCAGGGUUAGUCGGGACCUAAGACGAGGCCGAAAGGCGUAGCCGAUGGACAACAGGUUUAUAUUCCUGUACUACCUAUAUGACUGAUGGAAUGACGGAGAAGGCUAGAAGGAGCCAGUUAUUGGAUUCUGGUCUAAGCACAAAGGCUUAUAAAUUGGGAAAUCCGUUUAUAGUUAAGCUGAAGUGUUACGGUGUUGCUGUAGCAAUACAGCUGAAAUCCUUUGACGCCACGCUUCCUAGAAAAGUUUCUAAAGAUAUUAUAUAGGUACCCGUACCGAGAACCAACACAGGUGGGCAAGGAGAGUAUCCUAAGGUGAGCGAGAGAACUAUGGUUAAGGAACUCGGCAAAAUGACCCCGUAACUUCGGGAGAAGGGGUGGUCUAGCGAUAGACCCGCAGUAAAUAGGCCCAGGCGACUGUUUACCAAAAACACAGCUCUCUGCUAAGUCGUAAGACGAUGUAUAGGGGGUGACACCUGCCCAGUGCUGGAAGGUUAAUAGGAUAGCUUAGAUAUGACGUAAGUCGAUUUUAUCGAAGGUUAGAAUUGAAGCCCCAGUGAACGGCGGCCGUAACUAUAACGGUCCUAAGGUAGCGAAAUUCCUUGUCAGGUAAGUUCUGACCCGCACGAAAGGUGUAACGAUCUGGGUACUGUCUCAACCAUAGGCUCGGUGAAAUCUUAAUACCUGUGAAAAUGCAGGUUACCCGCAACAGGACGGAAAGACCCCAUGGAGCUUUACUGUAGCUUGAUAUUGAAAUUUGGUAUACUAUGUAGAGGAUAGGUGGGAGACUUUGAAGUUAGAACGCUAGUUCUAAUGGAGUCAACCUUGGAAUACCACCCUUAGUCUAUUGAAUUUCUAACCUUGUUCCGUGAAUCCGGAAUUGGGACAGUGUCUGGUGGGCAGUUUGACUGGGGCGGUCGCCUCCCAAACAGUAACGGAGGCGCCCAAUGGUUCCCUCAGAAUGGUUGGAAAUCAUUCAUAGAGCGUAAAGGUAUAAGGGAGCUUGACUGCGAGACUUACAAGUCGAGCAGAUACGAAAGUAGGGCUUAGUGAUCAGGCGAUUCAGU